rnacentral:tRNA from 1 species
GUGGGUACAGGUCAGCGGUAGAGCACAUGAUUAGCAUGCAUGAGGUCAUGGGUUCAAUCCCCAGUACCUUCA